UAGGGAAUCUUCCGCAAUGGGCGAAAGCUUGACGGAGCAACGCCGCGUGAGUGAUGAAGGUCUUCGGAUCGUAAAACUCUGUUAUUAGGGAAGAACAAAUGUGUAAGUAACUAUGCACGUCUUGACGGUACCUAAUCAGAAAGCCACGGCUAACUACGUGCCAGCAGCCGCGGUAAUACGUAGGUGGCAAGCGUUAUCCGGAAUUAUUGGGCGUAAAGCGCGCGUAGGCGGUUUUUUAUGUCUGAUGUGAAAGCCCACGGCUCAACCGUGGAGGGUCAUUGGAAACUGGAAAACUUGAGUGCAGAAGAGGAAAGUGGAAUUCCAUGUGUAGCGGUGAAAUGCGCAGAGAUAUGGAGGAACACCAGUGGCGAAGGCGACUUUCUGGUCUGUAACUGACGCUGAUGUGCGAAAGCGUGGGGAUCAAACAGG
rnacentral:rRNA from 1 species